UACGUAGGGGGCUAGCGUUGUCCGGAAUCAUUGGGCGUAAAGAGCGUGUAGGCGGUCCGGUAAGUCCGCUGUGAAAGUCGGGGGCUCAACCCUCGAAUGCCGGUGGAUACUGUCGGGCUAGAGUGCGGAAGAGGCGAGUGGAAUUCCCAGUGUAGCGGUGAAAUGCGUAGAGUAUUGGGAAGAACACCUGCGGCGAAGGCGGGUUGCUGGGCCGACACUGACGCUGAGGCGCGAAAGCCAGGGGA
rnacentral:rRNA from 1 species